rnacentral:rRNA from 1 species
GAACGCUGGCGGCGUGCUUAACACAUGCAAGUCGAACGGAAAGGCCCUACUUUUGUGGGGUGCUCGAGUGGCGAACGGGUGAGUAACACGUGAGUAACCUGCCCUUGACUUUGGGAUAACUUCAGGAAACUGGGGCUAAUACCGGAUAGGAGCUCCUGCUGCAUGGUGGGGGUUGGAAAGUUUCGGCGGUUGGGGAUGGACUCGCGGCUUAUCAGCUUGUUGGUGGGGUAGUGGCUUACCAAGGCUUUGACGGGUAGCCGGCCUGAGAGGGUGACCGGCCACAUUGGGACUGAGAUACGGCCCAGACUCCUACGGGAGGCAGCAGUGGGGAAUAUUGCACAAUGGGCGGAAGCCUGAUGCAGCAACGCCGCGUGCGGGAUGACGGCCUUCGGGUUGUAAACCGCUUUCGCCUGUGACGAAGCGUGAGUGACGGUAAUGGGUAAAGAAGCACCGGCUAACUACGUGCCAGCAGCCGCGGUGAUACGUAGGGUGCGAGCGUUGUCCGGAUUUAUUGGGCGUAAAGGGCUCGUAGGUGGUUGAUCGCGUCGGAAGUGUAAUCUUGGGGCUUAACCCUGAGCGUGCUUUCGAUACGGGUUGACUUGAGGAAGGUAGGGGAGAAUGGAAUUCCUGGUGGAGCGGUGGAAUGCGCAGAUAUCAGGAGGAACACCAGUGGCGAAGGCGGUUCUCUGGGCCUUUCCUGACGCUGAGGAGCGAAAGCGUGGGGAGCGAACAGGCUUAGAUACCCUGGUAGUCCACGCUGUAAACGGUGGGUACUAGGUGUGGGGUCCAUUCCACGGGUUCCGUGCCGUAGCUAACGCUUUAAGUACCCCGCCUGGGGAGUACGGCCGCAAGGCUAAAACUCAAAGGAAUUGACGGGGCCCCGCACAAGCGGCGGAGCAUGCGGAUUAAUUCGAUGCAACGCGUAGAACCUUACCUGGGUUUGACAUGGAUCGGGAGCGCUCAGAGAUGGGUGUGCCUCUUUUGGGGUCGGUUCACAGGUGGUGCAUGGCUGUCGUCAGCUCGUGUCGUGAGAUGUUGGGUUAAGUCCCGCAACGAGCGCAACCCUUGUUCACUGUUGCCAGCACGUUAUGGUGGGGACUCAGUGGAGACCGCCGGGGUCAACUCGGAGGAAGGUGGGGAUGACGUCAAGUCAUCAUGCCCCUUAUGUCCAGGGCUUCACGCAUGCUACAAUGGCUGGUACAGAGAGUGGCGAGCCUGUGAGGGUGAGCGAAUCUCGGAAAGCCGGUCUCAGUUCGGAUUGGGGUCUGCAACUCGACCUCAUGAAGUCGGAGCCGCUAGUAAUCGCAGAUCAGCAACGCUGCGGUGAAUACGUUCCCGGGGCUUGUACACACCGCCCGUCAAGUCAUGAAAGUUGGUAACACCCGAAGCCGGUGGCCUAACCGUUGUGGGGGAGCCGUCGAAGGUGGGACUGGUGAUUAG